CAAAUUCAAUCAAAAUUUCAAAAGAAUUAUGUAAGAAAUACAAAAUAUUCCUAGAGAUCCUUUAAAGAAUUAUAAAAAAAUAAUAUAGAAAUAUUAAUAAAAUAAUAAAAUAGAAAUCUUAAUUAAAUCUUAAUCAAAUUUUAAUCAAAUUUUAGUCAAAUCUUAGUCAAUUCCUAAUCAAAUCCUAAAUAAAUCCUUAUCAAAUCCUAAAAAAUCCUAAUCAAAUCUUAAAAAAAUCCUAAUCAAAUCCUAAUCAAAUCUUAAACAAAUCCUAACAAAUCCUACUCAAAUUCUAAUCAAAUCAUAACAAAUCCUAAUCAAAUCUUAGACAAACCUUAACCAAAUUCUAGUCAAAUCCUAAACAAAUCCUAAACAAAUUCCAAUCAAAUUCAAAUCAAACCCUAAACAAAUCCUAACCAAAUCCUAAAAAAAUCUUAAAUAAAUUCUAAACAAAUUCCAAUCAAAUUCAAAUCAAACCUUAAACAAAUCCUAACCAAAUCCUAAACAAAUCUUAAAUAAAUUCUAAACAAAUCCUAACCAAAUCUUUAAAAAAUCCUAAAAAAAUCCUAAAAAAAUCCUAUAAAAAUCCUAAAUAGAUUCUAAAUAAAUCCUAAAUAAACCCAAAAUAAAUCCUAUUUAAAUUUUAAACAAAUCUUAAAUAAAUACUAAAUAAAUCUUAAAUAAAUUCUAAUCAAAUCCUUAAAAAAUCCUAACCAAAUUCUAACCAAAUUCUAAAAAAAUCCUAAACAAAUUCUAAAAAAAUCCUAAAAAAAUCCUAAAAAAAUCCUAAUCAAAUUCUAAACAAACCCUAAUCAAAUCCUAAACAAAUCCUAAUCAAAUCCUAAAUAAAUCCAAGUAAUUCCUAUAGUAGAUUUAAACCUCAAUAACUAAUGAAUGAACCAUUGAUUUUAAUUCAAAAUUUUCAUACUUCUUAAAAAUUAAGUUGA
rnacentral:lncRNA from 1 species